rnacentral:lncRNA from 1 species
AGAUUUGAAGGGCACUGUUCUCUCUCUGGGUAUCAGCCCAUUUUUCUUCAGGCUUUUCUUUCUCAUCAUCAGUGGCUUCUAUGGCUUUGCAGCUUGCUUUUUCGGGGAUCUUAGGUUUAAGUUUUAAGUAGCUUCCCAUGGGGAAGUCACCUCUCUCUGUCUCAAAAAUCUUUGGGUGAUUUCAUUCACCCAUAGGCCUCUCUCUCUCUCUCUCUCUCUCU